GGAUGCGGCCAUACCAGCACUAAAGCACCGGAUCCCAUCAGAACUCCGAAGUUAAGCGUGCUUGGGCGAAAGUAGUACUAGGCCGAAGUUAAGCGUGCUUGGGCGAAAGUAGUACUAGGAUGGGUGACCUCCUGGGAAGUCCUCGUGUUGCAUUCC
rnacentral:rRNA from 2 species